UACGGAGGGUGCAAGCGUUAUCCGGAUUUACUGGGUUUAAAGGGUGCGUAGGUGGGCAGGUAAGUCAGUGGUGAAAUCUCCGUGCUUAACAUGGAAACUGCCAUUGAUACUACUGAUCUUGAAUUUUCAGGAGGUAAGCGGAAUAUGUCAUGUAGCGGUGAAAUGCUUAGAUAUGAUAUAGAACACCAAUUGCGAAGGCAGCUUACUACAGGAAUAUUGACACUGAUGCACGAAAGCGUGGGGAUCAAACAGG
rnacentral:rRNA from 1 species